CCAUUGGCUGUUUCUUCUUUCACUGCGUAAAUCUUCGAAAACUCCUGCCAAGACAAAAUCCAGCCCAUCAGGAGUCAAGUCCUAAAAUGCAGUCACAGGGUUGUUACCAGCUCUGUGUCCUGUGUGGUGACAGGGCUGUUGGCUGCACUGGGCUAAGCAGGUUAAAGCAAGAUCAAACGUGCCUGGAACAUUCACUAACAUGCCAUAAGCAAGGUAAGUAUUUCUUCCUUUAAAAGAUACCUUACUUCUUCCAAAACCACAAACUAGCUUAUGGGAUAUUCAUAUAGUUUAUAGCAAGGAAUACCUUUUUCUGCUGAAAAUUUCUAUUAUGCCAGACUUGACACAUUACUAUACUAAGAUGUUUUUCUAGUUUUUUAGGAGGGAAAAAACCUUAACAUCUUGGUUUUCCUCUUUUAACUUCAAAUUAAUCCUCCGCUACUGGUACUCACCCCCUUUGCUUUGUUUAACAUGCCCUUCGAAGAAGUCGCUACUACCAUUCAGAUACAAAGUUAACACAGAGCUUCAGAAACAACCUACUGAAGUUACCAAAGUCAACCGAGACAAGAAGAAAAAGAGAAGCUGAAACGCUGUACAAGGGUGCUGAAAAUCAUCAUGUAUUAUUCAUUCAGAGGUAAGACACAGCAUGUUUAGCCUACACUUCUAGGGAACUCUUGCUUAUUUUGGUCCUUAACUGACACUCUCACUUCACUGCUCCCUAGCUACUCACACCUAACAGUAUUUUUACAGCCAAGUAGAAACGCUGCUUUCAGACAGAACUGCCACUGACUACUAAAUGAUCCUUCACAGCUCCCAAGUCACAAGGUUUUUCCAUCUGGCAUAUAUGCUACAUUUAUCCUCAUGCUUUCACUGCAACCGCACGUGUACUUCCAAUACUGUUCUGUGUCUCACUGCAAAAGAGGCUGAUGGUGUAAGUUUUACCUAUUCUGGGUCGGCCAUUGUAAACACCAGCACAAAACCCAUGUCUCUAAAGAUAAAUCAGUGCUAUUGGGGUGACUUUUUUUAAUGUUUUAAACAAAUUGAGCAAUAACAUAAAAGCCAAACAUAACUGAUAUUAAGCAAUACUUUUAAUCCAUGUCUGAUGCUUGUAUCAAAUGAAGCUCUUGCAGGUGAUCUGAGCUCUUGCCUUAAGAAAAGACACUGACUGCAUAUUUGGAUUUACAUAUUUAGUACAUGCUAAGUGCACACUUGAUAUUGCAAGGGAAGAAACUAGAAAUCAUACCAGAGGAACCAAGGCCAUGACUCAGGCACAUAACCAUAGAUAGGAGAAUCACAUGUACAAGGGAGGUCUCAGUAUGGCAAUAUCAAGUAAGUGUAUAGGAACAUGACCGCAAGUCAGUUAAUGCUCUUCAGAUAAAAGAAGUUUAUGUGACGUGUUAGAAACUAACAUGUUUAAUAUAACCUUAAGGAAAUUUUUGGAUAGCAAUAGGCUGACACACUUCAGUUUCCUUGGGAUGACACUGUGACAGAUAAUAGUAUCUUCGGUAAAAUUUUUAUUCAUCCCCGAAGUUAUGAAUUCAGGAGCAUCCUGUUUCUGUAAUGCAUCUCAAUCAUCUAAAUCUUUUUAGAUACCUAUCCACAAGUCUUCCACUUGUCUUAAUUACAGCAUCUCACAGUUUGAGUCUUCAAACAAUUCAUUCUCUACUAUGGAAAGUACCAGAUAUAGCCAUAAGACAGCUGUAAAGCUAACUCUCAAGGAGGGCCAGGUCACAGUAUAUAUCCAGUUCGCUCUUAAUUGUAUCUGUCUUGAGAAAUAGCACUGUUAUGAAUUAUAUUGUCUAUUUGAAAAAUCAAGGGAUUUUCACAAUUGGAGGUUUAAGGUAAGUCAAGAGCCACUACUAUACUUAGCUUCUGCAAAGAGCCAGUCUUAGCAACACAGUGCACUACUAAACACAAAGAGAAGUAAUAUUACAGAUGUAAAACUCAAUAUUAAAAUAACGCAUUGAAGUGUGUGACACAAUAUAUCAUGACCCAGACAGAAGGAGAGAAAGGAGAGAAUGGAUGUUUUCUUUGCAGGGAACACUAGUUUGAGCUGAUCUGAAUGCUUAGGCCUUUACUGUUGUUAUUUUUUUUAAACAGAACAGAAAUUACUUUUAGUAGCGCUUGAAUCAAGAUACUAAACUCUGGAAAUCUGAAGGUCAGUAUAUUUCAACUCCAAACCUACUCCUCCUUCCAGCUUGAAGUGGAAUGGUAAGUAGUUUUGUCAUUGCGCAACCUUAAAGGGAUAGCAUAUGAAAAAAGCAAGAAGUUGAAGUUGUAUUUUCACAUCUUGAAUUACACAGAAGUUCACUAGUUUAAGAAGCACUAGGUAGGAGGAUUCAUCAGCACUUAGGUUAGCGUGCAUGAUGCUCUGUUAAUUAUAAGAAUCUACAAACUGAGAAGAGUCAUUUACAGAUUUGCUCCCCAAAUCAACAGUAAUGGAACAAUAACAUCCAAGUACUUGAGGUUACUUUAGCACUCCAUAAACGCUACACAGUCUCUCCUCUCUAGAACAAAACACUGCCAUGGCCAUUCAAAAUCCCAAUAUCGUGCUCCCCUUUUAUCUUGGCAAUUAAGUUUUCCAGCCUCGGUACAGUCUAGUAUUUUGACUACACUAAGAGUGUAAGUGACCACCACAGAAAGUGACUCGACUCUGAGAAAACUAAAGUAAGUCCCUCAUUCGUAACAUCAUCUGUUACUCCUUGUCACUUUUAAUGGAGUGUCUGAAUAAAAACUGCCUGAAUUAAAAAACCAAACUACACAUUGUUUAUAGCUCACCAUUGUUUUCUGAGAGCAGGUCAGCAAUUUCCUUGUUCAAGCUAAAUAUUUAGAAGUAUUGAUCUCUGCUGUUCCCAGAGCGCAGCUGUUCCAGGCCCCGGAGCUGGUGUUCUGGUCCUUGGUGCUGGUCCUCAGGCAAGGGACUGAGGAUCCCUUCCUAGCUAUUCCUCACUAUCAAAUUUAGAAAAGCAAGGAGGGAUGGGAGGGCAGAACACAAGCACAUUGUCUUUUAUCUGCUGCAAUUCAGGUAACAGUAACAUCCUGAAGUGAAGCAAUUUUGAUUCAGACAUUCUAGCUAAAUCUGAAACUGAAUUAAGUGUAAAAUUCCUCAAGUCACAUAAAUUACUUAUGUUCAGUAGAGGUAAAAUACCUCAAUAAUUUUGAAGCAAAAAGAAAUGGAAGACAUUAGACAGCAGCAGGACAUGAAUGAACAUUGCUCUGUUUUCCCCUGUAAUGAAAAUAAACCCCAGGAAUCCUGGCUGACAAGCCAACCUAGAUGUUGGAGUACAUGGCCUCCUCCUCCUGUCAGGUACCCUGGGAGACAGUGCCCCCCAGAAAGAGGAAAUGGUCCUCAUUUGUCCAUUGACACAAGGGAGGAAGAAACUCCAGUGACACAACAGAAACAAAACCAAGAUUCCCAGUAUAACCGCAACUAGGCAGUGUUUAGAUGAAAGCUAUUGUGACAGCCAUAAAUCCAGUGCUCUUUAUGAGCAGUGGUACUGAAGUUAGAAAAAAGAAGGCAGUAGUCCAGGAGAAAUCAAGAUACAGGUGAAGUUUCACCAACUAUCCUGUAUGCAAUUUUGGUUACCUGGCUACAAGACAAACAAAAAUCAUAUCAUGAUCUGUCCAAAGGACAGUUAACCUCACUCAGAAAACACAAGAUGCUUCUAAUAGAAGGAGAUGAGAAAUGUGCCUUUUUUAAAUGCAAAGUUUGUAGCCCUAGGAGGAGGGAGAUUUUGGAAGUGCCUCGAGUACGAACAGACUGCAUGCAUAUAAAUAUAUACAAGUUUGUAUGUGUGGCUGUGUAAAACUAACUUGUCUCAUACGGUGAGACUCUGCUGACCUCAAGAUUAGAUAAGCAUAUGCAGCGACAAGAUCUUCUGCAGUUUGAUCUAGCUAACAGAACCAGUCUAUCUGUUGUCCUCUGUUGUACUAAGAAAACUUGAACAUUUGAAAAGAGGGCAGCUGGCAGAGCUAACAAACAGACAGAGGAAGAGAAACGGGAAAGGCAAGAGGCAGCUACAGUGCAAACUGCAGCCAAGCAGCAGCUUUGACAGGGACUGCACGAGCAGCUGUUCACUGUUCAGCCUGGUUACAGCUGUGUCACCACGAAGGAACACGGGAGGUAAAAAACCUGUUAGACAAAAUAGCGUAGAAAAACUUCAGUACUCCCCUCUUCUCCAUUCACCAAUUCCAUCAAAGGAGUUAGGGAAACCUCACGUAAAACUGCUCAGAUGACCAUGCUAAUUAGGUCAAAUCAGACAAGGUUGGAAAACUUGGGAAAGUUCAAGUUACACUCUGUAUUACAAGCCUAAGCCUACUGUACUUUUCAGCAGGAAGUUAAUUCAACAGAAAAAAAAAUAAAAUUAGAAACCACACAUCUAACUGGUUUAGCUUGUUUAAAACCAUCCAGCUUUCUUUU